GUUUGUUUCAGCAGCACGUAAACAAAAAAAAAAGGAAUGUACAUAGAAAAUUAGCAUGGCUACUGUGCAAGGAUGGUAUAUUGAUUCAUGAAACACCACCUUUUUUU